UACAGAGGGGGCAAGCGUUGUUCUGAAUUACUGGGCGUAAAGGGCGCGUAGGCGGCCUGCUAAGUCGAACGUGAAAUCCCUGGGCUCAACCCAGGAACUGCGUCCGAUACUGGUUGGCUUGAAUCCGGGAGAGGGAUGUGGAAUUCCAGGUGUAGCGGUGAAAUGCGUAGAUAUCUGGAGGAACACCGGUGGCGAAGGCGACAUCCUGGACCGGUAUUGACGCUGAGGCGCGAAAGCCAGGGGAGCAAACAGG
rnacentral:rRNA from 1 species